UCAAGAAACUUCCACAAUGGGCGAAAGCCUGAUGGAGCGACGUCGCGUGAUGGACGAAGUGCUUCGGCACGUAAACAUCUUUUAUGUGGGAUGAAAUUAUUGACAGUACCACAUGAAUAAGGGGCUCCUAACUCUGUGCCAGCAGGAGCGGUAAUACAGAGGCCCCAAGCGUUAUCCGGAAUCACUGGGCGUAAAGGGUGUCGAGGCGGUUGUAUUAGUCGUUCGUAAAAUCUACGAGCUUAACUUGUAGGCGGCGAACGAAACGGUACGACUUGAGGUUUGGAGAGGUGCGUGGAACUCACGGUGUAGGGGUGAAAUCCGUUGAUAUCGCGGGGAACACCAAAGGCGAAGGCAGCGCACUGGCCAAAAUCUGACGCUCACACACGAAAGCUAGGGUAGCGAAGAGGAUUAGAUACCCUCGUAGUCCCUGAGCGGGCUGGCAAGGCGCAU
rnacentral:rRNA from 1 species